rnacentral:rRNA from 1 species
AUUGAACGCUGGCGGCAGGCCUAACACAUGCAAGUCGAGCGAGAGUCGGACGGGUGAGUAAUGUAUGGGGACUGCCCGAUAGCGGGGGAUAACUACUGGAAACGGUGGCUAAUACCGCAUACUUUAGGAUAACCCAUAUGGGAGUAGCUAGUAGGUAAGGUAAUGGCUUACCUAGGCGACGAUCCCUAGCUGGUCUGAGAGGAUGAUCGGCCACACUGGGACUGAGACACGGCCCAGACUCCUACGGAGGCAGCAGUGGGGAAUAUUGCACAAUGGGCGCAAGCCUGAUGCAGCCAUGCCGCGUGUAUGAAGAAGGCCCUAGGGUUGUAAAGUACUUUCAGUCGGGAGGCGUUACCGACAGAAGAAGCACCGGCUAACUCCGUGCCAGCAGCCGCGGUAAUAC